ensembl:lncRNA
CCGCGCACGGCAGGAGGCGGCGGGGCCCCGCCGGCCCCCGGGGAGCCGCGGCGGGGGCGGAUGGAGACAGCGGGCACGGCGGCGGGCUGGGGUAAGGCAGGGCAGGGCGGCAUGGGGGAAGGCAGGGGCUGAGCCGGGAUGGGCAAAGGCAGCAGCCGGGGGAGGGCAGGGGCUGAGCCGGGAUGGGCAAAGGCAGCAGCCGGGGGAGGGCAGGGGCUGAGCCGGGAUGGGGAAAGGCAGCAGCCGGGGGAGGGCAGGGGCUGAGCCGGGAUGGGCAAAGGCAGCAGCCGGGGAAGGGCAGGGGCUGAGCCGGGAUGGGGAAAGGCAGGGGCUGGAACUGAACCGGGCUGAGGGGAAGCAGGGGUUGGGGCGGGCUGGGGAGAGGCAGAGCCUGAACCGAGCUGGGGAAAAGGCAAGAGCUGAACCGAGCCGGGGAAAGGAAGGAACCAAGCUGGGGAAAGGCGUGAGCUAUGCCGGGCUAAAAGUUAUUUUCUUCCAUCUUCCUUUCAUCUCUGGAAGCUCCAUCAGUAUUGGGAUAGGCAGCAAUUAUUCCAAUCUCCCCAUCGCCUCGAACCAGAGCAGCGCUUCCAGCGCCUUCCCGAGCGC